UAGGAAGUGGUGUAUUGGAAGCACUAAGAGUUUUGAUCUCUUCGGUAUGGGGUUCGAGUCCCCUCUUUCUAG
rnacentral:tRNA from 1 species